rnacentral:lncRNA from 1 species
GGAAAGAUGAAGAAAACAGAAUGAGUUUCUGAUAACAGUGUUCCCAACACUUAAUGGUUAAAAGAAGCUUUGAGGAACACCAUAUUUCAGCCCUAUGGAACAGUGAACAAAAAGGAAAAAGCCAGUCUCCGUAACUAUUAAUUUCUCUGUCCUUCUAAUCUGUAUUCCCUGAGAAAUUAAUUGGGCUGGCAAGUCAAAGCCCUGAACCCCAGCUGCAGCUUUCUGAGCUUGUUCUGUCCAUCUGUGAAGUAAGGCAAUGAGAAGUGAGUCGGGGAACGGAACCCACGAUGCGUCAGAGGAGUGUUCCAGUUGCACACACACUCCCCAGCCACCUGGCAGCUCAGUCUAUAAUCUGGAGGCUUCCACAUCUACAGCUCCAUACAAAUGAACCUCUGGUUCUAAAGAAGUUUCUUCCUUGUCUGGUUCUCACUUUCUAAACCUCAGUCUCUGGAGAGAAAAGGAGUCCUGGAGGAUGAACAAGGCGAGCUUGGAGUAAUUUGGAAAAGCUAAUGUUGUAGGACAGAAGCAAAGCCUGCAAGUCACAGCCUAGGUUCCCUGAGUGAUGUUUUCAGCAGUAAACUGCAACUUCAAAGCUAA